rnacentral:rRNA from 1 species
UACGUAGGGUGCAAGCGUUAAUCGGAAUUACUGGGCGUAAAGAGCGCGCAGGCGGUCGGAUCAGUCGAAUGUGAAAGCCCCCGGCUCAACUGGGGAGGGUCAUUCGAUACUGUCCGACUCGAAGGCAGGAGAGGGAAGCGGAAUUCCCGGUGUAGUAGUGAAAUGCGUAGAUAUCGGGAGGAACACCAGUGGCGAAGGCGGCUUUCUGGCCUGUUCUUGACGCUGAGGCGCGAAAGCUAGGGGAGCGAACGGG